rnacentral:lncRNA from 1 species
AUGCUGCUCUGUGCCGGGUGCUGGUCCCCAGCGUUGCCUCCACUCAGCACCCAGCAGCCCCACAAGGGUGUCAACAGAGCAUCAGGAGGCACUGACCCCAGAGCCCCUCCACGUCCCCGGGAACGGCCGGCCCCCCGUCGCCGCCGAGGGCCCUCGGCCAGGAUGGACAGCCAGGGGAAGGCUGCUUGUCUCCACGCCUCUCCGACGGCUCUUCUUCCGGCCCCUCCAGCCCAGGUGGAAUCCUUGAAGCUGGAGUCAGGACUGCCGGGCUUGCGGAGACGUGGGCUCCCCAGGAAGUGCUGAGCCCAUGAUCAGAGCUGCACCCCCACAAGAAGUCACCAUGUGGAUCCCCAGAGGGGAUACUCCGGAAGUGCUUCCAUUCGGCCACCAGCAGCUGUGAUGUCCCCUGACCGUGCAUCCUGGGUCCCAGGGGAUGGUGGGUAGGGGAGCCAGGCGAGGAAGUGAGUCACAGCCCUGUGGGGUGAGCUCCCCGAGGGGAAGGGAUUGCGUAGAGUACUUGGGGGAAUUUGUGAGCCUUCAAGCUGGCCUCUGCUGCGACAGGGGCCAGCAGCCUCGUCCGCUCUGUAGUCCACUCCGGCUGCUCCCUGUAGCCAGGGGUGCGGCAUGGCAGGAACAGGCCACAGGGCAAGGGAGGAGUGUGGUGGGCUCAGAAGGCUCUGGGGAGAGGGUGCCUUGCUCCUGGUGCUGAAAGGACAGCGCCCGGCUUGGGCAGAGGCCGCGCCAAGUCCUGGCGGAAGCUUUUCCGCAAACUGGAGUGGGGCGUCAUGUGCAUCUGAAUUUUUCCACUCCUCUUCUCUGGAGCCUGUCAGUGCCGUCUUGGCAAAGAUGGUUUGAGCCUGAAAGCUUUUCCCAUCUAUUUUUAAAUAAAUGGAAUUCCUGUCACUUGCAUGAAAUUCAC